GAUGAACGCUGGCGGCGUGCCUAAUACAUGCAAGUCGAGCGAACGGACGAUAAGCUUGCUUCUCUGAUGUUAGCGUCUGACUGGCGAGUAACACAUGGAUAACCUACCUAUAAGACUGGGAUAACUGCGGAAAACCGGAGCUAAUACCGUAUGAUAGUUUAAACUUAAUUGUUCAAAAGUAAUUGACGGUCUUGCUGUAUUGUAUAGAUGGAACCGCGCUGCAUUAUCUAGUUGGUAAGGUAACGGCUUACCAAGGCAACGAUCCAUAGCCGACCUGCGAGGGUGAUCGGCAACACUGGAACUGAGACACGGUCAAGACUCCUAGGGGAGGAAGCAGUAGGGAAUUUUGCCAAAUGGGCGAAAGCCUGACGGAGCACCGCGGCGUGAGUGAUGAAGGUCUUCGGAUCUUAAACCCCUUUUAUUGGGAAAGAAGAUAUGUAUAGGUAAAUGUUCACACCUUGACGGUACCUAACCAGAAAGCCACGGCUAACUACGUG
rnacentral:rRNA from 1 species